CAAACUCGACUCCAUGAAGUCGGAAWUCGCUAGUAAUCGUGGAUCAGAAUGCCACGGUGAAUACGUUCCCGGGCCUUGUACACACCGCCCGUCACACCAUGGGAGUGGGUUGCAAAAGAAGUAGGUAGCUUAACCUUCGGGAGGGCGCUUACCACUUUGUGAUUCAUGACUGGGGUGAAGUCGUAACAAGGUAACCGUAGGGGAACCUGCGGUUGGAUCACCUCCUUACCUGAAAGAA
rnacentral:rRNA from 1 species